AUCCGGCUGAUGAGUCUCACAUAGGAUGAAACACUUGUCCUAGAU
rnacentral:hammerhead_ribozyme from 1 species